GUGUGUGAUUAAAGGCUUGUUUGUUAGAUUUCAAUUUUGGCAUAGUUGGUUGUUUGCUGAGAAGCUGUGAAACAUAAUUAUACAGGCCAUUAAGUGGUACCAAAAAGAUGGUAAAUUGGUAGUGUUCAGUUCCGGGCAAACAUUUUCUUCAAGAGGUUUUUGUCAGAUUGAUGAAUGUGAAAUUAAGAGGACCCAUUUUGAGAAUGCAUCAAGAGAGAUAAAGUCUAAAAUGUGAUACUGUCAAUGUGACUAACCUUGAAGUAAACAGAUGACACAAUGUUUUUUCAAUGUCAUGGGCAUAUAAUGAAGAGAAAACAGAGAUGCUUGUUUGACAGAUACAGUAAUAGUAGGAGUUAUGAGGGAAGAUAGAUUGCAGUGAUAACUAUAUUGAGGCACCACUUCAUCACCAAGAACAUGAGAUGACUUAUCAAUGUUUUCAAUGUGUUUGAACACCCAUUUUAAAUAAUACAGCUCAGAGUGAAUUUUUCAAAAUAAUUAAUUCUGUUUUCAAAGUU